rnacentral:piRNA from 1 species
UGAUCAGAAGGUCCAGGAUGGCCCACUGC